CCUACUAGUCCGAACAUAAAAAAUAAAACAUCCUAAAGUUAAAAUCAUACCAACCGCAAUAAUUAAUUGUAGAAACUAUCCAAGGAUAGUUUCUAUACAAAUAAUUAUAUACGAACCCAAUCACCAACCACAUGAAAAAAACACCCCAUGAUAUAAAACUAAAGUUUAAAUGAAGUGCCUGAGAAAGGGUUAUUUUGAUAGAAUAAAUCACGUGAAACCAUCACCUUCAUUG
rnacentral:rRNA from 1 species